GCUCGAACCCGCAUUGUUCUAAUUCCCAUUGUGUGUUUGUCAAUCCGAUUAUUGAUCUGUGUGACGAUAAACUGCGUAGACUGUUCCACAACGAAUUCAUUGUCAUGGUUCGAAUUCAAUUGUUGUAUUUUUACCUUCCUGAAUUGGCUUAAGUACGUUUAACAACUAUUUUGGAGUUGCUGUUAACCGCCAGUUAUAUUGGGCAGUAUGUUAGUUGUUUCAUUGUUACAUAGGAGCUAACAAAUUACUAGUUCGGAGAAUGCAGAUCAGUGGUCAUGAGACUAGUUAAUAGAGUUUAGGAUUUAACACAUUGGUAGUUUAUAGAAUCAUCGUGGGUGGAAUGCGGCAUGUUAAAGUUUAGGAAGAUGCCAACACGACUCGUAGUUGGCCAACUUCGAGUAUUACACGUACCUAUCAGGGCUAGUUUGAGCAAAAGCAGACAGCAAGCAACCAGACACUAUCAAAAACUUUAAUUUGUUGGCUUGAGCUAAUGAGUGCAGGCAAUGUUAUAAAUAUUACAUAAAGUCAGCUUAGGUAAAUUGUUACCCUAAGGCGGGUACUGUAGUUCAUUAAAGCUAAUUUACUUACUGGCUGCCUAGAUGCAGUAGUCAACAUUAGGCAUAAAUUAUCAAUAGUACUUGACAUUAAAGAAAAUAAGUAUAUUUGACUUUACAUAACAGAAGAGUGUAGCCUAUGUGCUUAGGUCUUUAGCUUUACAUCUAAAAUAUCAGGCUUACAACGGAUCAGUCGUAAUAGCUGUUGUUUAAACAGGCCCCGUGAAGCCUGUUUCUUUUUGCUCUUACUGUUUGUGCGGUCGUAGAAAUUCCAAUGAUGUAAUAUAUGUAGAUAAUUAAUAAGUUAUCGAAUGGUAUAUGUCAUGAUAUCAUGAAACCAUUCUUUGAAGUGCUUAUACAAGGUUUAGUUCAGUACAUUAAUAUGAAAGUAUAUUCAAUAUAAUACUUAAUUUAGUUUUCAAAUGUCGUGACAGAGCCUGCAGUUAUAGCAAUAAGGUUCUCUUUGUGUAUUCAAUAUUGAAAUACUUUUCGACACGGGACGUACGCCUAUAUAAUGUUGGUAGCGACCGAAUGUAACAUUCACUGUUUAAGUUUUGAUAAAAGGAGUCUGACAGCAUGAUGUUCUAAUUUUGUUGAUACGUUGGUUUUAGAUAGAGAAAAUCUCCUCGUGUCCAUUGUUCAAGUUUUACGUAUGUUGCGACGACGCUAGAUUUGCUCUAUUUAGUUAUUGAUAUCAAAGAAUCAGUAAAUAAGUAAACGCCCCAUUGUAAAUUUUGACCCAGGAGUAAGUUGAUUGCACUCGUGAGUGACGUAAUCAGGAUAAAGGUCCUUAAUAAAAGAGUCACCAUAGGAGUAAUACUGCCCUGACGUCAUAGGAGAAAAGAACUGUUUCGACCACGAAUUUGCUUCAGCAUCUCCCACACAUAAGGUCCAAUAUGUCAGGAACAACUGCAGGAUUAACUACAGUUGCCCCCCCUCCAACAAACAUUUUAGUUAUUGUUCUUCCAAUCGUAGGAGGGGUGGUUUUAAUUGCGGCGAUCAUCAUUACGAUAUGUUGCGUUCAAAAGGUAAAGAGAAAACGCGCCUUUGAAGGGAAAUACAGCCCGUCAGCAAACGAGGAAAAAGGUGGUGUAAGAAUGAACGAUAUGGUAAACGUUAUGCAGCCACCACCGCCAGAAAGAUUAAUCUGAAUCCUUCUAUUGGUUGGUCACGAGUAACUGUUGGAAAGUCGAUGCUUCGGAUCAAGAAUGAGCAUUUCGUGAGAUUGCAAAACUGAGUGGAUUCGGCAUAGCGACACAUCUACUUUCAUUGUGCUUCUUUAUAACUUGAACGUUCCAUAAACGUUUCAUUUUACAGUAUUUUUAACCGGUCCGAUGACCUUGUAUAUAAAUAAAUUAACAAAAA